rnacentral:misc_RNA from 1 species
GUAGGUGAACCUGCGGAGGGAUCAUUACCAGAGAUGGCGGGCCCCCGGGCCCCCCGUCCCCAACCCUUUGUUGACCAAACCACUUUUGCCUCGGGGGCAGAGCGGCCUCCGCCGCCCCCGGUGGACCAACCAACCCUGUCUCUGUACGUCGGAGUCUUUUGAUGAAUAUAUGAAAACUUUUAACAACGGAUCUCUUGGUUCUG